CCACCCACUGCUCACUACAGCUACAUGCCAGCUGCCCCACUGUAUGUACAUCAGACUGGUAAACCUCCUUAAUUUCAACAUCCAUCUGAACAGUCUCCUGGCUACAGUCAUAGUCAUACAUCACCUCUUUACCCUGCUCAGUUGUCAAAAUACUAUACCUCACCACCUAAUACACUUGUUUCACCUGCUAUGUCAAGUUCGAUACCACCUACUGUACCUAGUUCUGUGCCUAAGUGUUUGCCUAUACAAGGAAAAAGGAAGGCUUCAAUUCUUCCUAGGUUUGAGAUCAACAAAGAAAACCUUUCAACUUGUGACAUUAUAUUGAAGAAGUACUCACAUUACAUAAUGAAAAAACUAGCUGUCAAAUUAGCAAGUGAGAUUUAUUUUGGGAAAUGAUGUCCUGAAAAAGUGAACGGUAAUGGGCUUAUGAGGUUAUCCAUCAGCCUUGCCAACACAGCUUGGAGAAAUUGGGAGACUUGUGAGUAAACUGGAGCAGGAAAGGUCAAAAAAAUUCACUUCAAAUUGUAAU